rnacentral:rRNA from 1 species
GUGCCAGCCGCCGCGGUAAUACGUAGGGGGCAAGCGUUGUCCGGAAUUAUUGGGCGUAAAGAGCUCGUAGGCGGCUUAGUAAGUCGGCUGUGAAAUACCGGGGCUCAACCCCGGAACUGCAGUCGAUACUGCUGUGGCUAGAGUCUGGUAGAGGAGAAUGGAAUUCCCGGUGUAGCGGUGGAAUGCGCAGAUAUCGGGAGGAACACCAGUAGCGAAGGCGGUUCUCUGGGCCAGUACUGACGCUGAGGAGCGAAAGCGUGGGUAGCAAACAGGAUUAGAUACCCCAGUAGUCC